rnacentral:lncRNA from 1 species
GUUUUCGCAGCAUGUGUUGCUUUUUGACUCUUGGUUGGUAGCCUCAGUAUCCGCUGACCUUGCUGUUAUUUUACGCAUCAGCUUCCACUUGGUUAUAAUAGCACUGACAGUUGACUGUGUAGCAGUACUGUUCAGUAGUAAAGUCCUGAGAGCAUUCUUUGACUAAUGUCUGUAGAUGAGACCAGAAUUCAAUUAUUUAGAAGAGUGAAUAAUUUUGGCAAUAUAGUGUAUGUAAUACUUGACUUUUUUUCUCAAUAAAUACAUGAUUUUUUUCGUUUUCCAUUUGUACGUUUUACGUAGGACUAGUGUGGAACUCUGAUGAAGUUUUCUGUCAGAUUUCUGCAGAAUUCUAACCGCUUCACACACUGGAACGUGCGGUUGUUGAAUGAGCGCGCGACGUGAUGGUGGUUCGCCGCUGCUGCUCGCGCGGUCUUUCUGAAAGCGCUCCGUUACCGAAAGCGAAAGCGCGCGCGGUGAUUGAUGGCGGAAGUGUCUCGGCCUGAUCAGACUGGAAUUGUGGAGAAACCCAACGCGCAGCGCCAGUAGCCCGUGACAGCGGGGGAAACUGGAGGCGCGCGGGGGAAUUUCGGCGAUGUUGGGAGAGGAGCUCUCCGCGCGCGCGUCAACUCCGCUCCUUCCAGAACGCUCGACCGAGCCAGAGAGCGCGCGCUGAACGCGGAGCAGCGUCGAGCGUAACGGCCGAGCACCAUGUGAAGGAUGCACGAGCCUGCUGAAGAAGACUCUCCGCAGAUCAUGAUCAAUGAGUGGGACCAGGAUUCUUCUCUGUAUGGCUGUGAUGCUGCUCCUCGGGGUGGUCUACGCUAGAAGAAGGUGCGACUACUCCAUAAUCCUCUCCUCCUACAGACUGCUGAUCUUUCCUGAGCUGCAGAGUCUGAAUCUGACUGGUCCAUUUGGCAUGUCUAAAGAAAACAACGGCUGUGCUUCUAAUAAGGUGACUCAUAUAUUGCGAUCCAUUUAUCGCAUGACCGAGCAGUUUGUGUGUCUCACUGACGGCCUGCAGGGAAACGAGAUGACUGCCGUUGUGUCCAAGAUGGCCCAGCUCAUCCAACUGUACUGCAGGAAGAAAUCCACGGAAAAUGGACGCAGUGUAAAGCCCUGCAAACCUGUGCGGAGGAAGAAAAAAGCUAAAAAACAAAUGGAACAAGGAAGGAAGAUGAUCCAGAGGCUCAUAAAUUGCUGGCAGAAGCUGCAGAGUGUGUAUUCUUAAUAUGGAUGAUAUGGAGGACAGUUUUUGAACAAAGCGUUCCAGAGCAGGAGGAUCUACAUGGUAUAUUUCUUGCCUCCGUUUGUUGAUGUAACUGAUUAGAGAGUCAGGUGCUUAGACUGCAGUAAACAGAUUUUAAGAAGCACCUUACUGUUAAAUAAAUGUAUAUUAUGCUGUUUAUAUUAAUAAUCU